UGGGGAAUAUUGCACAAUGGGCGCAAGCCUGAUGCAGCCAUGCCGCGUGUGUGAAGAAGGCCUUCGGGUUGUAAAGCACUUUCAGCGGGGAGGAAGGCGUUAAGGUUAAUAACCUUGGCGAUUGACGUUACCCGCAGAAGAAGCACCGGCUAACUCCGUGCCAGCAGCCGCGGUAAUACGGAGGGUGCAAGCGUUAAUCGGAAUUACUGGGCGUAAAGCGCACGCAGGCGGUCUGUCAAGUCGGAUGUGAAAUCCCCGGGCUCAACCUGGGAACUGCAUUCGAAACUGGCAGGCUAGAGUAUUGUAGAGGGGGGUAGAAUUCCAGGUGUAGCGGUGAAAUGCGUAGAGAUGUGGAGGAAUACCGGUGGCGAAGGCGGCCCCCUGGACAAAGACUGACGCUCAGGUGCGAAAGCGUGGGGAGCAAACAGG
rnacentral:rRNA from 1 species